rnacentral:rRNA from 1 species
UACGUAGGGUGCGAGCGUUUGUCCGGAAUUACUGGGCGUAAAGGGCGCGUAGGCGGCCUGCUAAGUCGAACGUGAAAUCCCCGGGCUCAACCCGGGAACUGCGUCCGAUACUGGUAGGCUUUAAUUCGGGAGAGGGAUGCGGAAUUCCAGGUGUAGCGGUGAAAUGCGUAGAUAUCUGGAGGAACACCGGGUGGCGAAGGCGGCAUCCUGGACCGACAUUGACGCUGAGGCGCGAAAGCCAGGGGAGCAAACGGGG